CAGUCGCCACGGGAAUACGUAGGGUGCGAGCGUUAAUCGGAAUUACUGGGCGUAAAGCGUACGCAGGCGGUUUGUUAAGUCAGAUGUGAAAUCCCCGAGCUUAACUCGGGAACUGCAUUUGAAACUGGCAGGCUAGAGUCUCGUAGAGGGGGGUAGAAUUCCAGGUGUAGCGGUGAAAUGCGUAGAGAUCUGGAGGAAUACCGGUGGCGAAGGCGGCCCCCUGGACGAAGACUGACGCUCAGGUACGAAAGCGUGGGGAGCAAACAGGAUUAGAUACCCCUGUAGUCCCUGUCUCUUAUAC
rnacentral:rRNA from 1 species